rnacentral:rRNA from 1 species
AUGUGGACCCAUGUGGAUCGAUUGGGCAGCAAAGCAACUCAAAUUCAUGCACCAGGGACAACCAAUUUAGUUAACAGGAGUGCAAAUCAGCUUCAUCAAGUUCAACCAAUCACUUGUGCCCAGUUGUGUGCGCUGGAGGAGACCAAUGCUGUGGCUCACAUAGUUUGUCUGUAUGCAGUGGGAGAGGAGGUGAUUAUCGAGCGUAUUCCAGUCGAGAUACAGACAAUGUUGCAAAAAUUUCAGGAGGUAUUCGAGGAACCAAAUGCAUUGCCACCGCAUCGAGAGUGGGAUUAUGUCAUUCCCAUCAUUCCAAGAGCUAAGCCAGUCAACGCCCGACCCUACAGAUACACACCUGAGCAGAAGACAGAAAUUGAGACUCAAGUGAAAGAGCUGCUGAAGGCUGGGUUGAUUAUCCCUAGCUCGAGUCCUUAUUCAUCCCCAGUGUUGCUUGUCAAGAAGAAAGAUAUGACAUGGCGAAUGUGCGUGGAUUACCGGCACUUGAACGCAAUCACAGUUAGAAGUGCCUACCCCAUGUCAAUCAUCGAUGAACUCUUAGACGAGCUGGCAGGGUCUCGCUGGUUUUCCAAACUAGACCUACGGGCAGGUUAUAAUCAGAUAAGGCUGUGUGAGGAGGACGAACCAAAGACUGCAUUUAAAACUCACCAGGGACACUUUCAGUUCAGAGUGUUGCCAUACGGGGUGACUGGAGGGCCACCUACAUUCCAAGGUGGGAUGAAUAUAGUGCUGGGACCCUUACUCCGCCAUGGAGUGUAG